CCCCUAGAUGUUCUGGGCCGCACGCGCGCUACACUGAACAGUUCAACAAGUCUUAACCUUGGCCGAUAGGUCUGGGUAAUCUUUGAACGCUGUUCGUGAUUGGGAUAGACCUUUGCAAUUAUUCAUCUUCAACGAGGAAUUCCUAGUAAACGCAAGUCAUCAGCUUGCAUUGAUUACGUCCCUGCCCUUUGUACACACCGCCCGUCGCACCUACCGAUUGAAUGGUCCGGUGAAAUCUUCGGAUCUGAGAGAUGUCUGAUUAAUUUCGGACGCCUUUUGGAAAAGUUGUUUAAACCUUACCAUUUAGAGGAAGGUGAAGUCGUAACA
rnacentral:rRNA from 1 species